rnacentral:rRNA from 1 species
GAUGAACGCUGGCGGCGUGCUUAACACAUGCAAGUCGAACGGAAAGGCCCUGCUUUUGUGGGGUGCUCGAGUGGCGAACGGGUGAGUAACACGUGUGUAUCCUGCUCUUGACUUUGGGAUAACUUCAGGAAACUGGGGCUACUACCGGAUAGGAGCUUCUGCUGCAUGGUGGGGGUUGGAAAGUUUCGGCGGUUGGGGAUGGACUCGCGGCGUAUUAGAUUGUUGGUGGGGUAGUGGCUUACCAAGGCGUUCACGGGUAGACGACCUGUGAGGGUGAUAGGCCACACUGGAACUGAGACACGGUCCAGACUCCUAAGGGACGCAGCAGUAGGGAAUCUUCGGCAAUGGGCGAAAGCCUGACACAGCAACGCCGAGUGUGUGACGAAGGUGUUCGGGUCGUAAAGCCCUGUUUUUGGGGAAGAACCGCCGUGUCAUUAGACGUAGCCGUAUUGACGGUAACUAAUCAAAAAGCACCGGCUAACUACGUG